rnacentral:rRNA from 1 species
UACGAGGGGGGCGAGCGUUGUUCGGAAUUAUUGGGCGUAAAGGGUGCGUAGGCGGUUUGGUAAGUCUGAUGUGAAAUCUAUGGGCUCAACUCAUAGUCUGCAUCGGAAACUGCCGGGCUUGAGUGUGGGAGAGGUGAGUGGAAUUCCUGGUGUAGCGGUGAAAUGCGUAGAUAUCAGGAGGAACACCUGUGGCGAAAGCGGCUCACUGGACCGGUACUGACGCUGAUGCGCGAAAGCUAGGGGAGCAAACGGG